rnacentral:rRNA from 1 species
GAUGAACGCUGGCGGCGUGCUUAACACAUGCAAGUCGAACGGAAAGGCUCCUGCUUGCAGGGGUACUCGAGUGGCGAACGGGUGAGUAACACGUGGGUGAUCUGCCCUGCACUUCGGGAUAAGCCUGGGAAACUGGGUGUAAUACCGGAUAGGACGAUGGUUUGGAUGCCAUUGUGGAAAGUUUUUCGGUGUGGGAUGAGCUCGCGGCCUAUCAGCUUGUUGGUGGGGUAAUGGCCUACCAAGGCGUCGACGGGUAGCCGGCCUGAGAGGGUGUACGGCCACAUUGGGACUGAGAUACGGCCCAGACUCCUACGGGAGGCAGCAGUGGGGAAUAUUGCACAAUGGGCGCAAGCCUGAUGCAGCGACGCCGCGUGGGGGAUGACGGCCUUCGGGUUGUAAACUCCUUUCGCUAGGGACGAAGCGCAAGUGACGGUACCUGGAGAAGAAGCACCGGCUAACUACGUG